ACGGGGCGCAGCAGGCGCGAAAACUUCACACUGCAGGAAACUGUGAUGAGGGAACUCCAAGUGACUGCACAAUGUGUAGCCUUUUCUUGAAUCUUAAUAGUUCUUGGAAUAAGGGCUGGGAAAGACCGGUGCCAGCCGCCGCGGUAAUACCGGCAGCUCAAGUGGUCGUCGCUUUUAUUGGGCCUAAAACGUCCGUAGCCUGUUUGGUAAAUCUGUGGGUAAAUCAACGAGCUUAACUCGUUGAAUUCUGCAGAGACUGCCAGACUAGGGACCGGGAGAGGUAUGAGGUACUCUGGGGGUAGGGGUAAAAUCCUGUCAUCCUCAGAGGACCACCUGUUGCGAAGGCGUCAUACUGGAACGGAUCCGACGGUCAGGGACGAAGCCUAGGGGCACGAACCGGAUUAGAUACCCGGGUAGUCCUAGGUGUAAACGCUGUGGAUUUGGUGUGUGGGGUCCGCAAUGGGCCCCAUGUGCCGGAGUGAAGAUGUUAAAU
rnacentral:rRNA from 1 species